CCUAGCCGUAAACAUUGGUAAUACAGCACAUUUAUUACCCGCCAGGGAACUACAAGCAUUAGCUUGAAACCCAAAGGACUUGGCGGUGCUUUAGAUCCACCUAGAGGAGCCUGUUCUGGAACCGAUAACCCCCGUUCAACCUCACCUCCCCUUGUUUUCCCCGCCUAUAUACCGCCGUCGUCAGCUUACCCUGUGAAGGCUUAAUAGUAAGCAAAAUUGGCACAGCCUAAAACGUCAGGUCGAGGUGUAGCGUAUGGGGAGGGAAGAAAUGGGCUACAUUUCCUGUUAUAGGAAACACGGACGAUAUGCUGAAACGUAUAUCCAAAGGAGGAUUUAGCAGUAAGCGGGAAACAGAGCGUCCCGCUGAAAUUGGCCCUGAAGCGCGCAC
rnacentral:rRNA from 1 species